UAGUAGUAACUAGUGGAAUUACCCACGUAUUACGGCGGUCUGAUACUAUAAAAGAUGGAAGAUUGAUAAAAUAAAAAUUUUAAAAUUUUUUGACCUGUAAUGAGACAUUAAUAAAUAUAAAUAGUAUGAGAAAAAAGAGUAUAAAGAAAUUUUAUUUUACUUUUGUUUGGUGAAAGCGAUUAGUUUAGAUUACAAUAAACUAUAUAAACGCAUUAAUUGAAAAGUGGAUGGGUAGAAAGACGAAGCAUCGAGUGGAGAUGGGAGGUUGGAAGACGAAGUAUCAUAAAGUGAGAAGGGGAGAGAAGGCAUGGGUGAAAGAGGAACUGCCAUAUGACAAAUUCUGUAGAAAAUAAUAUAUAGGUAUAGAUAGAUAGAUAAUAGAAAAAAAGUAUGAUAGACUGACAGAGAAAUAUGUACUGUUAAUAAAUGAUUAAAUUGUCGGAUUACAAUAAAAAAAUAAUUGCAAAAG
rnacentral:lncRNA from 1 species